GGAUUUUUAGUAUAUUUUAGUAUACCCGGUUGCAGACCGGGGGGAUGGGGGUCUU
rnacentral:tRNA from 1 species